CUCCCUCGAGGUAAUCACCCCAUCUCAUCUCACUCUAUCAAUGCCCAUGAGGCAUUGGGAGAGGAACCUAAUAAUCUCAUAUAAGUUAGAUGGUGUGAGAUUGUUGCAUGAGGUCAUCGUUUAAGAGAAGUUCUAGUUACAUUGGAUGAAUCAACAUAUUUAUCAAUAGAUGACGCCUCAGAGUCUGGAUCAGGUCAUUGUAUUAAAUUACUGUCGUGUUUGAUUUACAUUUGGAAUCAAUUUAAAAUCAGAGAUUGAGUGAAUUCCAAGUGUGGAUCAAGCAUCGUAGGAGGGCCUGAUUGAAACUCGACACGUAGCAGGUGAAUUAGAUUGAGUUUGGAUUGGAGCAGGACAGCAUCGAUAACGUGACUCCCGGAUGGUAGAGGUUUGCAGCACAAACAGGCAGGACAAUGGGUGUCAGCUUCAUCCAACAAGCUCUGCACUCAUUUCACUAUAAAGUCCACAACUCAUCAACAAUCUAAAAUCAAACUUCGAAGAACACUAUAACUGCAAAAGAAUAACAACGAUGGCGACGGCUAUGGUUGUGAUGGAGCAUACCUGGGUUAGGAAACCAAGCUGCAUCAACGGGUUACACUGGACAGUGAAGAAGGCCUAACAUAAGAAGUGUAGCCACUACCAUCAGGGUUGGGGAGCUGGCUGCCAUUAUUAAGAUACAAGGAAAUGCUGGUUUUCGGUUCAAGGUAAGUCAAGAAGAGGUGUUUGAAGCCUUCUUUGUAAUGGUUAGCUUGGCUAGUGCUGUCAGCAUUCGGCGUUCAAAAUCAAGCUCCAUAAUUAAGCUAAGAACAUUAUAAUGACUUGAAAGCUGGGUAUUUGAAUUCGGAGUGCAGGUAAAAGUGUUUUUCUAACUUGCUCAUUAUAUGCUCGUGAAAAUUCCUCACAGACGUCAGCUUCACCAGUUCCUUCCUUGGAAUUUGGAUGAGGGGUUUGGUAGAGUAGCCAAUGUGCACAAGAUAUUGGGGUCGAUUCCGUUGCUCCGUUUUUGUGCCAAAAGAUGUAAUUCGUAUUUGAGUCAUCGCAGUCUCUUUUUCCUGUGGAAAUGGCUGGCAUGGGACAGUCUCUUAACAUUUAAUCUCUUUAUUUUCUAUUUGGCUCCAAACAUGAGUUCUAACCUAAUGAAUUGGGAAUUUUAAUGUUUAAUCUCAAUUUGGCAGUUCAGCGCUUGUACCUCUGUUUGUAUUUCUGCUAAGGAGGGUUCUGAUGAGGAGUCUGCAUUACAAUGUCAGGCCGUCUCGUGUAUAUGCUUCAUGGUUUCAUGUAUGUGGGUGCCACUCUGAACAGGCCUCGUUCAAGUACUUGUCUGAGAUCGGAUAUAUGCUGCACAAAAUGGACCUCAACUAAUGUUACUCUCUUCUCCUGUAAACUGAUAAAGGACAGAAUAUGCUUUGGUAUGCAGUCUUGGAUCACCUUGUUUAUUAAUAUUGUCCAUUUUCCUAGAAUCACUAUUAGUCUAUAGCCAUGUUAAGAGGCAAAUUAUAAAGACCUGAAUAAAUUGUUUUUUUUCUUGA